AUUACGAGCGUGAGCCAAUGUGCCCGGCCAAUGGUACCUCUUUUUAACCCUCACUACUCUCUAUCCAUUCUCUGCUUAAAUUUUGUCCGUAACCUUAACCUCUAACAUACUAUGUAUUUUCCUUGUUUAUUAUCUAUCUUACACUAUUAUAUCAUAAGCUUCAUGAGGA